UCAACUACUUUUCUGUUUGUUUCCCAACCUCGAUUAAACUCACUAAAUUUAGGGACAAAAAGAAAAACCAAAAAACCAUGUUUCCCUCCAGUCUCGAGCCAAGGGUCUUUCACAUGUGAGGCAAACAUGAUAAAGUCUGCCCCACUCAAUUUAAGUAAUAGUUAAUCACACUUCCAGAUUUCAGCAGGUACCGUAGCAAAGGCUGUGUCUCAGGGCACUUGGCUGUUUGAAAAUAUGGGCACAUCAACUCAGGCCAAGCCACCGAGUACAAAACCCUGGAAGACCCGGGGGCAGCCCACUUAGAUUUCACGAUCGCUCCUCUCUCCCUCGUCGGUCUUCUGAUUCUUCCUGAAGGGCAGUUUCAUUUUACCCUUUACAAAACUGAAACGUCUUAUAUGUGCUUUUUGUAAUUUUUCUGUUCAAUAAGGUAUUGCAGUGGUGACCGCAUUGCCUUCAAACCUGAAGUCCGAGUGCUUCCACCCUGGGGAAUAUGCAGACCGCUGGGUCACUGGACGCCAGGCCGCGGUGCUGGCCUAGUUCUGCUUUUGGCUUUCAAUGCAGUCGGCGGAGGCGACUGGUUCAUGAAAUCCCACCCCUCUACUGCCCCAUUCCCAUAUUCUAUCUCCUCCCCAUAUUCUAUCAUCUCCUCCCCUGCCCACUCUGAGAGGAUUCGCCGCCUUUCUGUCGCGUCUGGACCCUUUGGAGUCCCACAUGGACAAGACAAAAUGGGCACUG
rnacentral:lncRNA from 1 species